CAGCACCCCAAGUGGUCAGGAUGAUUAUUGGGCCUAAAGCAUCCGUAGCCGGCUCUGUAAGUUUUCGGUUAAAUCUGUACGCUCAACGUACAGGCUGCCGGGAAUACUGCAGAGCUAGGGAGUGGGAGAGGUAGACGGUACUCGGUAGGAAGGGGUAAAAUCCUUUGAUCUAUUGAUGACCACCUGUGGCGAAGGCGGUCUACCAGAACACGUCCGACGGUGAGGGAUGAAAGCUGGGGGAGCAAACCGGAUUAGAUACCCGAGUAGUCC
rnacentral:rRNA from 1 species